UGGGGAAUAUUGCACAAUGGGGGAAACCCUGAUGCAGCGACGCCGCGUGAGCGAAGAAGGUUUUCGAAUCGUAAAGCUCUGUCCUAUGAGAAGAUAAUGACGGUAUCAUAGGAGGAAGCCCCGGCUAAAUACGUGCCAGCAGCCGCGGUAAUACGUAUGGGGCGAGCGUUGUCCGGAAUUAUUGGGCGUAAAGGGUACGUAGGCGGUCUAUUAAGUCAGGUGUGAAAGCGUGAGGCUUAACCUCAUUAAGCACUUGAAACUGAUAGACUUGAGUGAAGGAGAGGAAAGUGGAAUUCCUAGUGUAGCGGUGAAAUGCGUAGAUAUUAGGAGGAAUACCGGUGGCGAAGGCGACUUUCUGGACAUUUACUGACGCUCAGGUACGAAAGCGUGGGGAGCAAACAGG
rnacentral:rRNA from 1 species